GACACUGGUGAGCUGAUCUUUUCACCUGGGAUCCACCAUGAAAAGGUGUCUGAUGAUUAAGGAAGACUUGGAUUUUCACUGCUCAAAAAGUUAAAAGAUGUAGUAAGAGCUACUAUCCUAAUAACAGCAAGUAUUAGAAUCUCUUGUACCUGCCCCACCUCUGUACCCAUUAUGAGAUGUAACAAAACCUGAGUCUGAGUCAUUAGUCUCCUGAGGAGCUGGAAUUUAAUCACCUGGAUGCUUAACAGUCUUAUGUGGGAUCAUCAAAUGGCUAAGGAUCUGACUUCAGCUGUUCAGAGAUAAACUUCAGGUGUGGAGAUAUUUGAUUAACUGGUUAGUCCUGAAAAGUGGAAGGAAGAAGGCUACACCAAGUUCGAAUGACUUUCAGUCUUUGUGUUGGGUUGUUUACAUCUUUACAAGGUGCUAAUUGUCUCUUACCUGUGUGUAGUUAAGGCAGAUGAUUGGCAUCUAUUUCAGUCUCUUGCAAGUGUGUCUGCAGACGCAAGAUCUAAGCAAGCUGCAUAUAGUUAGGUCCUGGUUAGCACUUCUUUUCUUAAAUCACAUUAGUUUAAGACUGAGUAACUUCUCCUUGAAAACAGAACCUUUUAGCCUUAAAUAUGAAAUGGAAAUGUUGAAAGUUUUAAAAAAACUGUAUUUUUGACUUUUCAGUGGAAAACUAAUUGAUGUUGAACCAAUGCAUGUGUUCUCACUAAUUUCUCUGAAAAGAAGCUGCUGCAGGUUUAAUACUAGAUAAAUAAUGUAUACCUGCAAUAAACUCUAGUGGAUGCAAAGCACUCUGUAACUGUGUGCUGUCGAAUUGUUCACCCAUACCUAUUCAUGUUAACAUGUCUAAUUCAUGAUAAAAUAUAGACGUACUCAACUGUGUGUGAUUAUGUCAUGUGGUUAGUAGGAGCCAUGUUGCCAUGAGCAGUGCUGCUCAGGAGGGCAGUAGAGCAAUAGCUGCUACUGUUGAAUCUAAUUUCUUCUAGAAUAAAGAGUGUUUUAAUCAGCAGUGAUAACUGGAUAGGCACCAUGUUGUAAGUGGUGUACAAUACUGAAAUGGAUAUGACAACUACGGCCAAAGUGGUGAUCAGUACUUACCCUUACUGAGGGUUUGGAAGAUUUUUGGGGAAAAGAGGGGGUUUACGCAAUGCAUAGACUUACGAACUGUUUUAUAAUUAGAGAAGUUGGAAAUGCUGAAAUAAAUUUAGCACAUACCCUAUUUUUUUUCUGUUUUAGUUUCCCCAUUUAAAUUGAAGUUUUAAUCUGCUUCUUUAACACAAACACUGAACCACAUACUUGAGACAGACAAAGAUAAGGAUUACGUAGGAGACAACAAUCAUUGCUUGUUAAUUAAUUUGGUGUCAGUAAAUGUCAUCUUCCAAAACAUGAUUUCUCAAAUUGUUCAGUUUUUAGAAGUGGAAUAGCUUUAUAUUUGUAUAAAGGUUAAAACUCUGAGAGCUAUUAUUCAUGCUGAAUAGGGGAUGUUGUAUUAGACAGAAUUUUGUUAAACGCAGAAGUUUAAAUAAAGCUUGUUUACAGAGGUAAAA